rnacentral:rRNA from 1 species
AUGGUGAAGGCAGUCAGGACAAUGAAGGUAAACGCAAACGAAAUCCAUCAAAAUAUUGCCAAUCCCCCUACGACCUUCUCAUUACCCGCAAGAAACGUGUUAAAAAAAAUCAUCAAUGCAUAUUGCAAACACCUACAACACUGUGAUUUUGUUGAUCGUUACAUAUCAACAACGUGGUUCCCCAAAUUUAUGUUGAAUAGGGAAAGGGGAAAGACCAAGUCAGUAAAUAAUCUAAACUCAGAGAACCUUACAAAGAAAACAAAAGUGCUCACGAGAGUAAUGGAUGAGUAUUUCAGACGGGACAAGGCGUAUUUUCCUAUGCACGUUAACGAGAUUCAUUGGAUAACCAUAGUGAUGCACACGGUCAAGGAGGAGUUUCAAGUUCUUGACUCAAAUUCUAAUGGCGCAAUUAGCCAAAGAAUUCACAAUAUGAUUGCCACCCUGAGAGCUGAAAUUUCUAAGGAUAUUAUGGAGGCCAACUCUACUUUUCAUGGCCAAUAA